AUUGAACGCUGGCGGCAUGCUUUACACAUGCAAGUCGAACGGCAGCGCGGGCUUCGGCCUGGCGGCGAGUGGCGAACGGGUGAGUAAUACAUCGGAACGUGCCCAGUAGUGGGGGAUAGCUCGGCGAAAGCCGGAUUAAUACCGCAUACGACCUGAGGGUGAAAGCGGGGGAUCUUCGGACCUCGCGCUAUUGGAGCGGCCGAUGGCAGAUUAGCUAGUUGGUGGGGUAAAGGCCUACCAAGGCGACGAUCUGUAGCUGGUCUGAGAGGACGACCAGCCACACUGGGACUGAGACACGGCCCAGACUCCUACGGGAGGCAGCAGUGGGGAAUUUUGGACAAUGGGCGAAAGCCUGAUCCAGCAAUGCCGCGUGUGUGAUGAAGGCCUUCGGGUUGUAAAGCACUUUUGGCGGGAACGAAAAGGACUGUGCCAAUACCACGGUUCGAUGACGGUACCCGCAGAAUAAGCACCGGCUAACCACGUG
rnacentral:rRNA from 1 species